UACAGAGACAGACUAAUAGAGUCGGGACUUGGGAAGAUUGAUGACAAGACACGAGACAGGAAGGAAGAGCGAAGAGGAACCCUAAAUCGCAAAUCGUCAUCGUCUUCGACUCCAGUUCCUCCCGUCUCCGACUCUCCACUCCAGCCCCUCUCCAUCGGUCGCAUCUCGUCUUCGACUCUCCACUCCGGCUCUUUUUCCCGUUGAGCUUCUUUCCUACUCCGAAUCCGUCGUUCUCGACUCCGACUCUCCACUCCGGCUCCUCUCUGUGGCUCUCGUCUCCGACUCUCCUUCAAGCUCCCUUUCCCCGGUUGUGGUCAAGGAAAGAGAAAGAGAUAGCAAUUGUAACUCACAGUGGAUUCUUGUUUCAUACGCUAAGUUCGUUGGGCAAUGACUGUAACCCUUCGGUGAAGAAGGAGACAUGCCAAUACUUUGCAAACUGUGAACUUCGCUCCAUGGUCAUCGUUGAUAAAAGGUGAGGUGAAACAGCUCAAAAGUCGGUUUACGAAAGAAAUUCACCAUGGACAAAAGCAGCAACCUUGAAGAACAAGAGCUAAACACAUCCACAACACUAGCAGACAAACGGACCGAUCUAGUCGGUGAAACGAAGAUUAACCUCAAGAAAGUUAGAAAUUUCAGCCUGCCGGGUAGCCCAGAAUUUCGCAUGAACUUGCCCACACCAGCACGAGCGAGUGAUUUUAAUACAAAACUCCUCUAUCAUCAAUUCAUAAAACUCGAACCAAAGCGACACAAUCGCCAGCAGCAGAGCGCUGCGACGGGCCACCACUCAUAGCAAAAUCUUUAAAUGAAUUAUCAAACAAAAUCCACCACGUCAAAGCAGAUUACCGAUUUCAAAAGGUCUGAAUCUUCUUCUUCGUUCGUCUUCAUUCUUCGUACUCCCAAGCGCUAAGAGAAUGCAACCGAAGAAGAACUUGUCAAUCAUCACUUGGAGGCCGACGAAACUUCGACCGGAACAGUAUUGCGAUAUGGGAAUCGGACAACAGCCAGCCGGAAGCACACAUGCAUGUCUACUUUUUCCGAGGGAACUUCAAGUGAGAUUGACGAGUGCUCCGUCGGCAGCACUGAUCUUGAAGAGUGAAACAAACACCGCCACAGCUGCUGGCGACGGUGUCGACUCCAUUGAAUUGGAGAAGGAAAGUGUCCAUCAGUGCGCUUCGAGUAAACGCAGAGAAUAUGCCAAUUGCCAUGUGUUUCCCGUAGCUAAGAGAAGAUGCGUUCAAAAAUGCUUUUCUUUUUUUCCUUUUUUCCCCCCCUUUUAUAUGGUCAAAAUGCUUGUCGUGUUACUUAUUUAGUUGCGACCGUAUGAUUGAAUUAAACUCUCCGAUUUCAUCGACA